rnacentral:rRNA from 3 species
GAAACCCGGUGAUCUAGCCAUGGGCAGGUUGAAGGUUGGGUAACACUAACUGGAGGACCGAACCGACUAAUGUUGAAAAAUUAGCGGAUGACCUGUGGCUGGGGGUGAAAGGCCAAUCAAACCGGGAGAUAGCUGGUUCUCCCCGAAAGCUAUUUAGGUAGCGCCUCGUGAAUUCAUCUCCGGGGGUAGAGCACUGUUUCGGCUAGGGGGCCAUCCCGGCUUACCAACCCGAUGCAAACUGCGAAUACCGGAGAAUGUUAUCACGGGAGACACACGGCGGGUGCUAACGUCCGUCGUGAAGAGGGAAACAACCCAGACCGCCAGCUAAGGUCCCAAAGUCAUGGUUAAGUGGGAAACGAUGUGGGAAGGCCCAGACAGCCAGGAUGUUGGCUUAGAAGCAGCCAUCAUUUAAAGAAAGCGUAAUAGCUCACUGGUCGAGUCGGCCUGCGCGGAAGAUGUAACGGGGCUAAACCAU